rnacentral:misc_RNA from 1 species
UGUUGUAUUCUGGCAGCAUCCGCGACAACAUUGUGUUUGGAAAGCUUGACGCAUCCGAGAAUGAGGUGGUGGAGGCUGCCAGGGCCGCCAAUGCUCAUGAAUUCAUUUCAUCAUUGAAAGAUGGCUACGAGACGGAGUCUGGGGAAAGAGGAGUGCAGCUAUCAGGAGGACAAAAGCAAAGAAUAGCAAUUGCAAGAGCUAUAAUUCGCAACCCAACAAUACUAUUACUAGACGAGGCAACAAGUGCACUUGAUG